CACGAACGCUGGCGGCAGGCUUAACACAUGCAAGUCGAGCGCCCCGCAAGGGGAGCGGCAGACGGGUGAGUAACGCGUGGGAAUCUACCCAUCUCUACGGAAUAACGCAUGGAAACGUGUGCUAAUACCGUAUACGUCCUUCGGGAGAAAGAUUUAUCGGAGAUGGAUGAGCCCGCGUUGGAUUAGCUAGUUGGGGGGGUAAAGGCCUACCAAGGCGACGAUCCAUAGCUGGUCUGAGAGGAUGAUCAGCCACACUGGGACUGAGACACGGCCCAGACUCCUACGGGAGGCAGCAGUGGGGAAUAUUGGACAGUGGGCGCAAGCCUGAUCCAGCCAUGCCGCGUAAGUGAUGAAGGCCCUAGGGUUGUAAAGCUCUUUCUCCGGUGAAGAUAAUGACGGUAACCGGAGAAGAAGCCCCGGCUAACUUCGUGCCAGCAGCCGCAGUAAGAC
rnacentral:rRNA from 1 species